UACGAAGGGGGCUAGCGUUGCUCGGAAUCACUGGGCGUAAAGCGCACGUAGGCGGGUCUUUAAGUCAGGGGUGAAAUCCCGGAGCUCAACUCCGGAACUGCCUUUGAUACUGAAGAUCUUGAGUUCGGGAGAGGUGAGUGGAACUGCGAGUGUAGAGGUGAAAUUCGUAGAUAUUAGGAAGAACACCAGUGGCGAAGGCGGCUCACUGGUCCGGUACUGACGCUGAGGUGCGAAAGCGUGGGGAGGCAAACAGG
rnacentral:rRNA from 1 species